rnacentral:rRNA from 1 species
GACGAACGCUGGCGGCGUGCUUAACACAUGCAAGUCGAACGCUGAAGCUCAGCUUUUGUUGGGUGGAUGAGUGGCGAACGGGUGAGUAACACGUGAGUAACCUGCCUCCUUCUUUGGGAUAACGCCCGGAAACGGGUGCUAAUACUGGAUAUUCACUGGUCUCCGCAUGGGGGUUGGUGGAAAGGGUUUUUCUGGUGGGGGAUGGGCUCGCGGCCUAUCAGCUUGUUGGUGGGGUGAUGGCCUACCAAGGCUUUGACGGGUAGCCGGCCUGAGAGGGUGACCGGUCACAUUGGGACUGAGAUACGGCCCAGACUACGACGGGAGGCAGCAGUGGGGAAUAUGGCACAAUGGGCGCAAGCCUGAUGCAGCGACGCCGCGGGAGGGAUGGAGGCCUUCGGGUUGUGAACCUCUUUCGCUCAUGGUCAAGCCGCAACAAUGGUUGUGGUGAGGGUAGUGGGUAAAGAAGCGCCGGCUAACUACGUG